GUCAGAAAACAAGUGUCACUAAUCUAUUACAAAUAUGUUAAAUACUGGUAUGCACACAGAAUAAUGCUAUUGGACUAUAUACACAGACAUUGAUUACAGAUUAAAAAAUAAUUGCAGAUCUGCAAGGUAGCAAGGAUUUCUGUACACCCUGACACGGUAUAUUUCCAGUGUAAAAAAGGUGUUGUUUUUUCUCUAUUUAUAUAUGUAUAUAUAAAUCUGAAAAGUAACAUAAAAGCUUGUAUAUAUUUUCAUUAUAUAGCUAUCAAAUACACAUAUGUAACAUAAUCCAAUACACUCAAUACAGCUUUAGUAUAAAAACUUAUAAUUUAAGAGGCAAUGUUAGCAUAAAUUAAUAUAAGCUUUUUCUUAGAAUCUAGUUUAGGGAUACGCACCGCUCACAAGGUAGAUGGGGGGAUGGUCUUUAAAUAAAACUUUAAAGCUGAGAACAAAAAGGGAGAUAUAGAAUUAUUUUAUCUGUGCACACGGAGAAGAGAAUUUUGAUUGGGUGUGAAAAGCAUAUGAGGAGAUUGAUUCUAGCAAUGCUUAAUUGCUCAGAUUGUAUAUUCGAUAAAUGACCUUUAAUAUAAAAAAAAUUGUAAUAUUGUAAAUGCCCUUGUUUUCACCAAGGGAAUCCCUGAGAUAUAUGAAAAAUGAUGGCUAUCGGACCAAGGAAAUAGACCGACAGCAGCACCCUAAGGAAACGCAAGUUGCAAAAGGUGGAAAAUCAAAAUAAAUAUGGCCACAUGCAUGCAGCACAUUGCAGUCUUUAUAAAGAUAUUUAAAAAAAAUUACAUAACAGAGACAAUAAAAACACUAGCAAAAAAAAAUUAACCAGCAAAAUUGAAAGAGGGGGAUGAUGCAAGAGAGACAAUGCCGGUUAUGUGAAUAGUAUUGGCUAUGUUCUAAAAACAAAAACUGAGCAAUUGCCACGGAAACAAGAGACUGUGCCUUCUGGUUGCUCCAUAUUUAGAAAACACACACAGCUCUUUGUUUGAAGGAUCCAGCCCACAAGCAUGUAAAAUGGACUUGGCCUACUCAGUGAAAAAUGUCAGAGUUUUCCAAGACAGUGUUUGCCAAUUCAGCCCUAAAAACAUACCAAGAGUCUAGGUUUCAGAAACACUAAAUCCUGUACUGUCAAUUUCCUUGAGAACUGGAUUGGAAACUAGGGAUGUAUUGACUGUAUAACCAAGCAAACAAAAUAACAAAUCUUAGCAUUGCAAUAAUAUUCCUUUUAAAUUGUAAUAAAAAUAAGAAGAAUUAGGUCGUUAACCGCACUCCCCAAAUUUCCAUAUUAAAUCAAAGUUUUAUGUGUGAUUGAGAUAGAGAUAUAUAUAU